AUGUAUCAGGAUUGGAGGAGCCUGUGGAAACACACCAAGAUUCAUUUUGAUCAUUGUGACAAUGAAAUGACACACAAGGGAAACUGGAUGCCUACUUCAUUCAAACCUUACUGAUACAUGAUCUCAUCGUCCUGUUCAACCUGAUCUGAGACUCAGGCACUGAAGAGGUUCUUCUCUGCCUUCUCCUGAGAAGAUUUUGGUGAAGACAAAAUUACCUGAUGGAAUGAUGGGAAGAGUGUGAUGUGCACAACCUGGGUUUGCAAAGCAGUCAGUCUGGACACUCCAGAUUUGAGAUGAAGCAAGGGAAGGGGGCUGUCCAUAUUCCCAUGGGAAGAACUUUUCGACCAAGUAUAAAGUCAAGGAUACUUACACUCUUAUAUAAAAAAAAAGCUAUACUCAAAUGGAUGCUGACUUAUGGAUAGGUGCCAGAUGUUCUUUCUGAUGAUAUCAUCAGAGAAGCAGCCAGAACCUGGAAACAACCUAGAUGCCCUUCAAUGGAAGAAUGGAUGAAGAAAUUAUGGAAUAUAUACAUAUUAGAGUACUACUCAGCAGUAAAAAAAAUGGGCUUCUUGAAUUGUGCAUGCAAAUGGAUGGAAAUAGAAAACACUAUCCUGAGUGAGGAGUCCAUGCCUGCUUAUUGGCCACACUAGCACAAAGAGGUGAAGAAAGCAUGGAAGCCCACAUCCUUUACUGGAUCAAGAAGCCAACCACACAGUCACAGGACAUUUGCUGGAUGUGAGCCACUCCAUUCAUUAAAAUGUGAAGAAAGCUCAUGAACUUAUUAUUUUGAAAAGACUUCUUCAAUUUCCCUUAUGUAUAUAAAUAAUAAGUGAUCUUGUCAUCCUGUUCAAGAUGAUCUCAGACAUAGUCACAGAUUAGAUCCUUCUCUGCCUUCUCCUGAGAAGCUUUUGGUGAAGACACGGACCACACACCUUCAUGAUG